rnacentral:rRNA from 1 species
UUGGAAUGAUGGGAAUUUAAACCUCUUCCAGAGUAUCAAUUGGAGGGCAAGUCUGGUGCCAGCAGCCGCGGUAAUUCCAGCUCCAAUAGCGUAUAUUAAAAUUGUUGCAGUUAAAAAGCUCGUAGUUGAAUUUCUGCUGCAUUACAUAUCUCUUGUUUGAGUUUGUUUUUGUGGCUUAUUUCGGUUUGAUUUUUUCUUUCCGGAUGAUUACUUUGAGAAAAUUAGAGUGCUCAAAGCAGGCUUUUGCCUUGAAUAGUUUAGCAUGGAAUAAUAAAGUAGGACUUUGGUUCUAUUUUGUUGGUUUUAGGUACCAAAGUAAUGG